rnacentral:lncRNA from 10 species
AGCGCGGUUGGAACAAAGCCGGGGAAGAAGGGGGAUCAACCUGCUUGCUGCAUCUUCUGGAUUGCUGUCUUCCCGAGCUGGACGCUUGCUUGCUCUCCUCCUGCCCGUGGACAUCUAGACUCCAGGUUCUUCGGCCUUUAGACUCUGGGACUGCACCUGUGGCUUGCCGAGGUUCGUAGGCCUUCACCACUAACUGCAGACCACACUGUUGGCUUCCUGGUUUUGAGGCUUCUCGUUUCCUCAGCUUGCAGACGGCUAUCCUGGGACUUCACCUUGUAAUUGGUGCAUAUGAACUGGGACCAUGUGGGAAAAUGUAAUUUACCAAACCACACAGAGGAGAAAGUCUCUUCCAGGGGACACAGCUGAUGCGGGAAUAAAGACACAGAAGGCCAAGCUUACUCCUUGGGAGAGGUGACAAAGGCAAACCCAAAGUCAGUUCCACUGAAAUCUUCAAUGCCUUCUCUUUGUCAUCAUCAUUGCUAACAAUUAACAAGCUUGUACCAGGUGCCGGGCAUGGUUGGAAAGGUUUUGGAUAUAUUGCCAAUCAACCCUCAUAACAGACCUUUGAAAUAGAUAGUAUUAUUUUUCCUGUUUUACUGAUGAAGAAGCCAAGGAAUAGAGAAACUUGUUCAAGAUCACACAGUUAGUAAGGGGUGGAGCUGGAUUCAGACCCCAGGCAACCUCACUUGUUAGAAUACAAUGCUCAGUGCUACAUGCCUCUGAGAAAGCAACAUAGAAUAUUGGAAUUUUGGAAUUAGAGAAGACCACAAAAGUUUUGGUUUUUUGGGGGUUUUUUUGAGACAGAGUCUCUCUCUGCCGCCCAGGCUGGAGUGCAAUGGCGUGAUCUCGGCUCACUGCAACCUCCACCUCCUGGGUUCGAGCAAUUCUCCUGCCUCAGCCUCCUGGGUAGCUGGGAUUACAGGAAUCCAACACCACACCUGGCUAAUUUUUUGUAUUUUUAGUAGAGACAGGGUUUUGCCAUGUUGGCCAGGCUGGUCUCGAACUCCUGACCUCAGGUGAUCCACCUUCCUUGGCCUCCCAAAGUGCUGGGAUUACAGGUGUGAGGCACUGCACCCGGCCAUUGUUUUAAGCAAAGAAAUUUUUUUCACAUCAUACUGUGUAAUUCCAACGUCUAAAACUUUUUUAAAGGAGGAUUUACUUCCAGUCUAGCUUAGGUAGAGACUGUGCUUCUCCCUCGUUUCCUAUUGAGGUCACUGUGGUGCCUUUGUUUUGUGCAACUCUUCUGGGAAACUAUUGUCCCACUCCAAUCACUUCUACUUAGAGAUGAGAAACCUGGGCCCAGAGCUUUAAAAGAACCUCCCCAGGGCACCCAUUUAGUAUGUGCAUAAGCCAGUGCUUUUCUAAUACUACCUCAUAGUACACAUAUAUAUUAUUCAGAACUCCUUUUGUUGUAAGAAACAGAAACCCAACUCAAAUUUGCUUAGACAGAAAAAGGAAUUUAUUAGUUCAAAUAACUAGGCAGUUCAAGGACAAUCUGGGUCAGAUAUAACUAGCUCCAUGAGCCCAAUAUUAACAGAAGAGGUUCUGUUCUUCCUACCAUUUGUUAGCUCUGCCUCCCUAUGAACUGACUUCAUUCUCAGAUGGGUUCUCAGCACCAUACACCUAUACCAGAACAGCUCUAGAUGUGCAGGAUCCCUGAAUGGGGAACUGAAUAGUCACUAUCAUCUGUGUAUUCUUCUUGUAAGGAAGAUUUGGUUGGCUUUUAUUUUUGUUGAUGGUAUGACUAAGUUAGGUCACCUGCUCCCUUGCCCCAAUUUAAAAAAAAAUAAAAGAAAUGAACACGUAGUGGUCCAUAACAUGGACCACUAUCCUUGGCACGUCUGAUAAAAGUGAAUUCCUGGAAUCCAGGCAAUCUGUUCCACUGAUCUUUUUUCCCACCUAUAUCACACCAUCUUGAUUACAGUAGUUUUACCAAACUCAGGUAGAGAAACUCUUCUAGAUGUUGUUGUUCCUGCUCUCCUUCUCCUUUUCUUUUUCUUCUUCCUUCUUCACCUUCUUCUAUUAGAUUUAUUGAUGUAUAAUUUACAUAUAAUAAAAUUCAUCAAUUUUAAGUGUGAAAUUUGACAAGUGCUUAUAAAUAAUAAAGUCUCAUAAUCAUCACAGUCAUGGUAUAGAACAGUUUCAAAACUCCGAAAACUUUCCUUGUGCUUCUUUGCAAUUGAUGCCCUGUUAUCACCUUCUAGGCCCUAGCGUCUACCUUCUUUCAUGUAAUUAGAGUCAGUAUGUUGCCUGUUGUGUCUGGUUUCUUUCACUUAACAUAAUGCUUUCAGAUUCAUUUCUCUUUUUGCAUUUAUCAGUUUGUUCCUUUCUAAUUUUUAGUGGUACUACCUUAUAUGAAUAUGCCAACAUUCGUUUAUUCAUUCACAAGUUCAUGUACAUUUGCAUUUUUUCUAGUUUUUUGCUAUUGCAAAUAAAGCUUCUAUGAACAUCUGUG